rnacentral:rRNA from 1 species
UACGUAGGGUGCAAGCGUUGUCCGGAAUUAUUGGGCGUAAAGGGUGCGUAGGCGGGUUUUUAAGUCAGGGGUGAAAUCCUGGAGCUCAACUCCAGAACUGCCUUUGAUACUGAAGAUCUUGAGUUCGGGAGAGGUGAGUGGAACUGCGAGUGUAGAGGUGAAAUUCGUAGAUAUUCGCAAGAACACCAGUGGCGAAGGCGGCUCACUGGCCCGAUACUGACGCUGAGGCACGAAAGCGUGGGGAGCAAACAGG